rnacentral:rRNA from 1 species
AGAGUUUGAUCAUGGCUCAGAAUGAACGCUGGCGGCGUUAACACAUGCAAGUCGCACGAGAACGCUUCAGCUUGCUGAAGCUAGUAAAGUGGCGCACGGGUGAGUAACGCGUGGGUAAUCUAUCUCUGAAUUGGGGAUAACAUUGCGAAAGCGAUGCUAAUACCGGAUGAUAUCCAUUAAACCUCGGUUUUUUGGAUCAAAGGUGGCCUCUACAUGUAAGCUACUGUUUGGAGACGAGCCCGCGUACCAUUAGCUUGUUGGUAGGGUAACGGCUUACCAAGGCAACGAUGGUUAGCUGGUCUGAGAGGAUGAUCAGCCACACUGGAACUGACACACGGUCCAGACUCCUACGGGAGGCAGCAGUGAGGAAUUUUGCGCAAUGGGGGAAACCCUGACGCAGCAACGCCGCGUGAGUGAUGAAGGCUUUCGGGUCGUAAAGCUCUGUCAAGUGGGAAGAACCCGCGCCGCACAAAUAGUGCGGGGCGCUGACGGUACCACUGAAGGAAGCACCGGCUAACUCCGUGCCAGCAGCCGCGGUAAUACGGGGGGUGCAAGCGUUAUUCGGAAUCAUUGGGCGUAAAGAGCGCGUAGGCGGUCUUCUAUGUCAGGUGUGAAAGCCCGGGGCUCAACCCCGGAAGUGCACUUGAAACUGGGAGACUUGAGUAUGGGAGAGGGAAGUGGAAUUCCUGGUGUAGCGGUGAAAUGCGUAGAUAUCAGGAGGAACACCGGUGGCGAAGGCGACUUCCUGGACCAAUACUGACGCUGAGGCGCGAAGGCGUGGGGAGCAAACAGGAUUAGAUACCCUAGUAGUCC